AGGAGGAAGAGGAAGAAGACUGAAGUAUUCCUAUAAAAUACAGUACAGAGAUGCACACAGACAUAUCUGAUACGAGGGGAAUUAAUUGCAUGAACAGAGAGAGAAAAAAAAAAUGCCAUUAAUCUCCUGCAACAGUGUUUCAAGCGAGAGAGGAGAUCUCCAAGUACUGUGAUCUACGUCUCGGCUCGGAGUUUAUAUCCAGAACCCCACGAUUAUAAGAUGAAGGGAGGAAAUAAUGCCUUGAGAUGUCAGUUUGAUGGCUUCAUCUUGAGUGAAGACAGAUAGUGCAUGGCCUCUGGGUAUAAUAGAUAUUUUAAUUAUGUCUGGGUCUCGACAGCGGUCCCAUUUUAAGGGCCCAAAGUGGAUUAUUAUAUUGGUUUCUUUGGUGAGUAUAUGUCUAAUUGGUGCCUACAUUUACGCGCCUAGAGGUUGGACGUCCUGCUACAUCUUUUCUACUUCCGAUUGUGCUAUCUUACGGCAGUUUCCAUUUGUUCCUCUGAGGGAGUUAACUGAUGAUGAGAAUGCAGCCCAAGUUGUAAUUAAAGAACUUUUGAACCUAAAUCCUACUCAA